rnacentral:rRNA from 1 species
ACGGGUGAGUAACGCGUAAGUAAUCUACCCCUGCAUCUGGAAUAACCCACCGAAAGGUGAGCUAAUACCGGAUACGUUUCUUUUGAUGCGAAUCAGGAGAAAGAAAGGUGGCCUCUUCUUGAAAGCUACUGUGCAGGGACGAGCUUGCGUACCAUUAGCUAGUUGGUAGGGUAAUGGCCUACCAAGGCGACGAUGGUUAGCGGGUCUGAGAGGAUGAUCCGCCACACUGGAACUGGAACACGGACCAGACUCCUACGGGAGGCAGCAGUGGGGAAUAUUGCGCAAUGGGGGAAACCCUGACGCAGCGACGCCGCGUGGAUGAUGAAGGCCCUUGGGUCGUAAAAUCCUGUCAGAUGGAAAGAAAUGCUUUAGGGCUAAUAUCCCUAGAGUUUGACGGUACCAUCAAAGGAAGCACCGGCUAACUCCGUGCCAGCAGCCGCGGUAAUACGGAGGGUGCAAGCGUUGUUCGGAAUUACUGGGCGUAAAGCGCGCGUAGGCGGUUUGUUAAGUCAGAUGUGAAAGCCCUCGGCUCAACCGGGGACGUGCAUUUGAAACUGGCAGACUUGAGUAUUGGAGGGGGUGGUGG